GACAGAGGAGCCAAGCGUUGUCCGGAUUGACUGGGCGUAAAGCGCACGCAGGCGGAUGCGCGCGUGGGGUGUGAAAUCUGGCCGCUUAACGGCCAGGCGCCAUCCCAUACGGCGCGUCUGGAGUGAUGCAGAGGUCGAUGGAAUUGCCGGUGUAGUGGUGAAAUGCGUAGAGAUCGGCAGGAACACCCAGGGGGAAACCAGUCGACUGGGCAUCUACUGACGCUGAGACGCGAAAGCGUGGGGAGCGAACAGG
rnacentral:rRNA from 1 species